UUAAGCGACUAAGCGUACACGGUGGAUGCCCUGGCAGUCAGAGGCGAUGAAGGACGUGCUAAUCUGCGAUAAGCGUCGGUAAGGUGAUAUGAACCGUUAUAACCGGCGAUUUCCGAAUGGGGAAACCCAGUGUGAUUCGUCACACUAUCAUUAACUGAAUCCAUAGGUUAAUGAGGCGAACCGGGGGAACUGAAACAUCUAAGUACCCCGAGGAAAAGAAAUCAACCGAGAUUCCCCCAGUAGCGGCGAGCGAACGGGGAGGAGCCCAGAGCCUGAAUCAGUGUGUGUGUUAGUGGAAGCGUCUGGAAAGGCGCGCGAUACAGGGUGACAGCCCCGUACACAAAAAUGCACAUACUGUGAGCUCGAUGAGUAGGGCGGGACACGUGGUAUCCUGUCUGAAUAUGGGGGGACCAUCCUCCAAGGCUAAAUACUCCUGACUGACCGAUAGUGAACCAGUACCGUGAGGGAAAGGCGAAAAGAACCCCGGCGAGGGGAGUGAAAAAGAACCUGAAACCGUGUACGUACAAGCAGUGGGAGCCUCUUUAUGGGGUGACUGCGUACCUUUUGUAUAAUGGGUCAGCGACUUAUAUUCUGUAGCAAGGUUAACCGAAUAGGGGAGCCGAAGGGAAACCGAGUCUUAACUGGGCGUUAAGUUGCAGGGUAUAGACCCGAAACCCGGUGAUCUAGCCAUGGGCAGGUUGAAGGUUGGGUAACACUAACUGGAGGACCGAACCGACUAAUGUUGAAAAAUUAGCGGAUGACUUGUGGCUGGGGGUGAAAGGCCAAUCAAACCGGGAGAUAGCUGGUUCUCCCCGAAAGCUAUUUAGGUAGCGCCUCGUGAAUUCAUCUCCGGGGGUAGAGCACUGUUUCGGCAAGGGGGUCAUCCCGACUUACCAACCCGAUGCAAACUGCGAAUACCGGAGAAUGUUAUCACGGGAGACACACGGCGGGUGCUAACGUCCGUCGUGAAGAGGGAAACAACCCAGACCGCCAGCUAAGGUCCCAAAGUCAUGGUUAAGUGGGAAACGAUGUGGGAAGGCCCAGACAGCCAGGAUGUUGGCUUAGAAGCAGCCAUCAUUUAAAGAAAGCGUAAUAGCUCACUGGUCGAGUCGGCCUGCGCGGAAGAUGUAACGGGGCUAAACCAUGCACCGAAGCUGCGGCAGCGACACUAUGUGUUGUUGGGUAGGGGAGCGUUCUGUAAGCCUGUGAAGGUGUACUGUGAGGUAUGCUGGAGGUAUCAGAAGUGCGAAUGCUGACAUAAGUAACGAUAAAGCGGGUGAAAAGCCCGCUCGCCGGAAGACCAAGGGUUCCUGUCCAACGUUAAUCGGGGCAGGGUGAGUCGACCCCUAAGGCGAGGCCGAAAGGCGUAGUCGAUGGGAAACAGGUUAAUAUUCCUGUACUUGGUGUUACUGCGAAGGGGGGACGGAGAAGGCUAUGUUGGCCGGGCGAUGGUUGUCCCGGUUUAAGCGUGUAGGCUGGUUUUCCAGGCAAAUCCGGAAAAUCAAGGCUGAGGCGUGAUGACGAGGCACUACGGUGCUGAAGCAACAAAUGCCCUGCUUCCAGGAAAAGCCUCUAAGCAUCAGGUAACAUCAAAUCGUACCCCAAACCGACACAGGUGGUCAGGUAGAGAAUACCAAGGCGCUUGAGAGAACUCGGGUGAAGGAACUAGGCAAAAUGGUGCCGUAACUUCGGGAGAAGGCACGCUGAUAUGUAGGUGAAGCGACUUGCUCGUGGAGCUGAAAUCAGUCGAAGAUACCAGCUGGCUGCAACUGUUUAUUAAAAACACAGCACUGUGCAAACACGAAAGUGGACGUAUACGGUGUGACGCCUGCCCGGUGCCGGAAGGUUAAUUGAUGGGGUUAGCGGUAACGCGAAGCUCUUGAUCGAAGCCCCGGUAAACGGCGGCCGUAACUAUAACGGUCCUAAGGUAGCGAAAUUCCUUGUCGGGUAAGUUCCGACCUGCACGAAUGGCGUAAUGAUGGCCAGGCUGUCUCCACCCGAGACUCAGUGAAAUUGAACUCGCUGUGAAGAUGCAGUGUACCCGCGGCAAGACGGAAAGACCCCGUGAACCUUUACUAUAGCUUGACACUGAACAUUGAGCCUUGAUGUGUAGGAUAGGUGGGAGGCUUUGAAGUGUGGACGCCAGUCUGCAUGGAGCCGACCUUGAAAUACCACCCUUUAAUGUUUGAUGUUCUAACGUUGACCCGUGAUCCGGGUUGCGGACAGUGUCUGGUGGGUAGUUUGACUGGGGCGGUCUCCUCCUAAAGAGUAACGGAGGAGCACGAAGGUUGGCUAAUCCUGGUCGGACAUCAGGAGGUUAGUGCAAUGGCAUAAGCCAGCUUGACUGCGAGCGUGACGGCGCGAGCAGGUGCGAAAGCAGGUCAUAGUGAUCCGGUGGUUCUGAAUGGAAGGGCCAUCGCUCAACGGAUAAAAGGUACUCCGGGGAUAACAGGCUGAUACCGCCCAAGAGUUCAUAUCGACGGCGGUGUUUGGCACCUCGAUGUCGGCUCAUCACAUCCUGGGGCUGAAGUAGGUCCCAAGGGUAUGGCUGUUCGCCAUUUAAAGUGGUACGCGAGCUGGGUUUAGAACGUCGUGAGACAGUUCGGUCCCUAUCUGCCGUGGGCGCUGGAGAACUGAGGGGGGCUGCUCCUAGUACGAGAGGACCGGAGUGGACGCAUCACUGGUGUUCGGGUUGUCAUGCCAAUGGCACUGCCCGGUAGCUAAAUGCGGAAGAGAUAAGUGCUGAAAGCAUCUAAGCACGAAACUUGCCCCGAGAUGAGUUCUCCCUGACUCCUUGAGAGUCCUGAAGGAACGUUGAAGACGACGACGUUGAUAGGCCGGGUGUGUAAGCGCAGCGAUGCGUUGAGCUAACCGGUACUAAUGAACCGUGAGGCUUAACCUU
rnacentral:rRNA from 1 species